rnacentral:misc_RNA from 1 species
CCCUUGUACAUUUAAUGCCCUUCCAAUAAGCUGAUGAGCCAAGUGGAAACCAGGCUCUCCCUCAUCUUCACCCAAUAAAUUGUACAUUAUAGCUGCUGGAGUCUUCAUUGAUGGAUCACCUAGUGGAAGACCCACAACAGCUCGCAGAUGCUGUUCAAAUUGUGAGGUGUAGCAGGACUCAAUUGUGUGAUGACCACUAUUAUGAGGUCUAGGAGCUACUUCAUUCAGUAGAAUCUGACCGUCACUUGUCAAAAAC